CGGUUUUUAAUUUUUGGAACCAUCUGAGAGCAAGACGCUGAGGAGUUCCCUGGUGGCUUAGCGGUUAAGGACUUGGCAUUGUCACUGCUGUGGCUCGGGUUCAGUCUCUGGCCAGGGAACUUUGGCAGGCUGCAGGCACAGCCAAAAAAAAAAAAAAAAAAACACGGAUGUUAUCUACGCGUUCCCUUUUUUGGCUGCCCUGCAGUGUAUGGAGUUCCCGGGCCCAGACGAUGUGGCGGCACUGGCUCUGGAAUCCACUGUGCCAGGCCAGAGAUCACAGCUGUGUCCCAGGGCCCCAGAGACGCCACCGAGCCUGCUGGGCCACAGCAGGAACGCCUGAGGAUGUGAAUGUUGAUACCAUAUUACCCUUUACUCAGACUCCAGCCGAGCGCCUCGGAUGCCCCAGCAGCGUCUUAUCCAGACGCCAAACCCGGAUCACACGCUGGCUCCGGGUUCUCUGUCGACUUCGUUUCAGAAUCCAAGUGCUUCUCUGUGGCUCUGCCACUCUGGCGCCGGCAAGCCUUUGUGCCACACUUGGCUGUGACCAAUGGGGCAGCACCUCGGGAUUCAGGGAGGAGGGCGGAUGGGCAAACGGAGGCCAGCAGGCGGGGGGCUGCUCAGGAUGGCUCAGCAGCCAACAGCGGUCUGCCCAGGCUCUCCAGCCCCUUGCCAAGACUGCGUGGACCGUGACCUGGGAGUCUGAAUAUCACUGUCAGUUGCUCAGGCAGCCCAGAAGGUCAGAAGACCAGAGGGUCUCUUCCAUUUUUCUUUUUUUCUUUCCUUUUUUUGGUCUUUUUUGGGCUGCACCUGCGGCACAUGGAGGUUCCCAGGCUAGGGUUCGAAUCGGAGCUAUAGCUGCUGGCCUACACCACACCCACAGCAACAUAGGAUCUGAGCCGCAUCUGCGACCUACACCACAGCUCACGGCAACGCUGGAUCCUUAACCCACUGAGCGAGGCCAGAGAUCGAACCCGAAACCUCACAGUUCCUAGUCAGAUUCGUUUCCGCUGCGCCACAACAGAAACUCCCUAGUUUUCUUUUUAAAACCAGCCUCACCUGUAGAAGGUGGAAGUUCCGGGCUAGGGGUAGAAUCGAAGCCGAGGCUGAGGGCUCUGCCACAGCUACAGCAACUCGAGAUCUGAGUCACCUCUGCAACCUACGCAACACCUCGUGGCAAUGCCAGGUCCUUAACCCACUGAGCGAGGCCAGGGAUCAAACCCACAUCCUCAUGGACACUAGUUGGAUUCUUAACCCACUGAGCCACCAUGAGAAUUCCAAGAGGGUCACUCUUUUUGGUCUUUUUUUUUUUUUUUUUAGGUCUGCACCUACUGCAUGUGGAGGUCUGCAGGCUACGGGGUGGAUAGGAGCUGAAGCCGCCGGCCUGUGCCACAGGCACAGCCACCCAGGAUCUGAGUCCCGUCUGCACCCUACACCACAGCUCAUGGCAAUGCCAGAUCCUUAACCCACUGAGCAAAGCAGGGAUCGAACCCGCCUCCUCACGGAUGCUAGUCAGGUUCAUUAACCACUGAGCCACGACGGGAGCUCCCCAAGAGGGUUGCUUUUGAAAAAUCUAGUUUAAAAUAUCUUUAUCUGCAGAGUUGGUCUUUAUAUUUCACGACUGUGAAUUUUUUUUCUUUUUUUGGUUGUGCAUGUGGCAUUCGGAAGUUCCUGGGCCAGCGAUCCAA
rnacentral:lncRNA from 1 species